ACCAGGAUGGCCGAGUGGUUAAGGUGUUGGUCUUAAGUUCUAAUGAGCGUAUGCUCUCGUGGGUUCAAACCCCACUCCUGGUA